CAGCAGCCGCGGGAAUACGUAGGGUGCAAGCGUUAAUCGGAAUUACUGGGCGUAAAGCGUGCGCAGGCGGUUAUAUAAGACAGAUGUGAAAUCCCCGGGCUCAACCUGGGAACUGCAUUUGUGACUGUAUAGCUAGAGUACGGCAGAGGGGGAUGGAAUUCCGCGUGUAGCAGUGAAAUGCGUAGAUAUGAGGAGGAACACCGAUGGCGAAGGCAAUCCCCUGGGCCUGUACUGACGCUCAUGCGCGAAAGCGUGGGGAGCAAACAGGAUUAGAUACCCCUGUAGUCCCUGUCUCUUAUAU
rnacentral:rRNA from 1 species